CGAGGGUGCAAGCGUUGUUCGGAUUUACUGGGCGUAAAGGGCGCGUAGGCGGUCUUAUAAGUCAUAUGUGAAAGCCCACGGCUCAACCGUGGAAGUGCAUGUGAAACUGUGAGACUUGAGUAUGGGAGAGGAAAGUGGAAUUCCCGGUGUAGAGGUGAAAUUCGUAGAUAUCGGGAGGAAUACCGGUGGCGAAGGCGACUUUCUGGACCAAUACUGACGCUGAGGCGCGAAAGCGUGGGUAGCAAACAGGAUUAGAUACCCUGGUAGUCCACAGCUGUAAACGAUGAUAACUAGGUAUAGGGGGUGUUGACCCCUUCUGUGCCGUAGCUAACGCAUUAAGUUAUCCGCCUGGGGAGUACGGUCGCAAGAUUA
rnacentral:rRNA from 1 species